UGAUGGCAAUGAUGAUUUUUAGAGUUAUUGUUCACCUGAUAAAAACAUGAGGGUGUUCAGUCACUACCUCAUCUGAUGCCAUCU
rnacentral:snoRNA from 17 species